GGACCCGGGCGUUGGUUGACCCGGGCGUAAGGGACCGAAAUUAGAGUAGGGAAGCACACUUAGCUGAAGGCGAGAAAAGCUUUGCGUAUAGAAACAGAUGCCCGUACCGCAAACCGACACAGGUGACAGGAAGAGAAUUCUAAGGCCAGCGGGAGAAGGGUAGUUAAGGAACUCGGCAAAUUGACUCCGUAACUUCGGAAUAAGGAGUGCUCGAAAGAGCCGCAGAGAAUAGGCCCAGGCGACUGUUUAGCAAAAACACAGGUCUCUGCCAAAUCGAAAGAUGAAGUAUAGGGGCUGACACCUGCCCGGUGCCGGAAGGUUAAGAGGAGGAGUGAGAGCUCCGAAUUGAAGCCCCGGUAAACGGCGGCCGUAACAAUAACGGUCCUAAGGUAGCGAAAUUCCUUGUCGGGUAAGUUCCGACCCGCACGAAUGGUGUAACGAUCUGGGCACUGUCUCAACUACCCACCCGGCGAAAUUGUAGUACCGGUGAAGAUGCCGGUUACCUGCGGCAAGACGGAAAGACCCCAUGGAGCUUUACUGUAGCCUGAUAUUGGGUUUCGGAAAUCUAUGUACAGGAUAGGCGGGAGACUGGGAAACAUGAGCGUCAGCUUGUGUGGAGUCGAUGUUGGGAUACCGCCCUUAGGUUUCUGGAAUUCUAACCUGCGGCCGUGAAUCCGGUCGGGGGACAUUGUCAGGUGGGCAGUUUGACUGGGGCGGUCGCCUCCGAAAAGGUAACGGAGGCGCUCAAAGGUUAGCUCAGCACGGACGGAAACCGUGCCUCUGAGUGUAAACGCAAAAGCUAGCCUAACUGCGAGGGUGACGGCCCGAGCAGUAACGAAAGUUGGAGUUAGUGAUCCGGCGGUAUGUGAAUGGAAAUGCCGUCGCUCAACGGAUAAAAGCUACCCUGGGGAUAACAGGCUGAUCUCCCCCAAGAGUCCACAUCGACGGGGAGGUUUGGCACCUCGAUGUCGGCUCAUCACAUCCUGGGGCUGUAUUCGGUCCCAAGGGUUCGGCUGUUCGCCGAUUAAAGUGGUACGCGAGCUGGGUUCAGAACGUCGCGAGACAGUUCGGUCCCUAUCUGUCGUGGGCGCAGGAUAUUUGAGGAGCUCUGUCCUUAGUACGAGAGGACCGGGAUGGACGUACCUCUGGUGCGCCAGUUGUCAUGCCAAUGGCACGGCUGGGCAGCUAUGUACGGAACGGAUAAACGCUGAAAGCAUCUAAGCGUGAAGCCGACUCCAAGAUUAGAUAUCCCAUCGUAUAACGAGUAAGACCCCUUGAAGACUACGAGGUUGAUAGGCUGCGUGUGUAAGUGCCGUGAGGCAUUCAGCUUGGCAGUACUAAUAGGUCGAGGGCUUGACCU
rnacentral:rRNA from 1 species